AACAGCAACAGGGAUGAGUCAGUGAGUCAGUUGGGCUUAUGAAUCAUGAUUCAUGAUUCUCGAGUAUUGAACGAUUCGUUCAUGAUUCGCGCAUCACUAGUCAGCCUGUUACAGCCCAUAAUAACAGUGAACACUUAUUAAAACAUGAAAUGAUCACGUUGGAUAAAACUGUUUUUAAUCAAAUAUGUAAACAGAUCCAACAACAUUGACACAAUAAGAUCCAAAUCAUUAGUUCCAGCUGACAUGGACUGGAGUGAGGACACCAGUGACUGAAAGAACCAGUGUUCCCAUCACAGACUCAUCAUCAUGUGUUAUGUUAGUGUCUCAUUCAGCACAGACACAUUAUUUCUGUUAGGUCCUGUCAGAUGUGAGCACUCUGUACAAGCACGACUGUGAACAACACAGACUUCUUUUAAAUGUGUCACAUAAACAUUCAGUGUGGAUUUGAUCCAGAUGUUUCUGCGUAUGGAAGUUACUCAGGCAUCAAAUAGAUUUGAAGUCUUUAUGAUCCUGAGCUGACUUCAAACAAGGAGCUUCUCAGACUAACAGCACGAGCACAAAACUGAAAGGAUGAGAAACAAAAGUUUGAUUUUAAUGCUUCACAGAAAAUCUAUUUGAAUACGCUGGAGACUCAUUUAGGUCACUGCUGUUAUCUUUCACUCAGUGCAGCGUUUCUGAAAUGUCUUUGUAUUAUAGUGAAGUUUGAGCUUUGCAGGAUAAAAAGAAGAAGAAAUCAAAGAUGCUUGUAGGUGGAUCUGACUGUGGCCAAUCAACACCUGCGCCUUGCCGCCCUGAUCAGAUACCCAGCUGGGAUAAUGAGCUCGCCAAAGGAGAAGACUGAAAGCACUGACACGAGGAAGGAACGAGUCAGAGAACCAGUGAGUGUCAGCAGAACCACUGUUCAGGACGAGACCACAGACAUCAGCCACAACUGACCGUGUACUUAGUGAAAACCUCAGACAGCAGAAAGCAGAGAAAGAGGAGGAGCAAGGAGAGCAGCCAUGAUGGAAGGACAGGUAUGAAAUCCGAGUACUGACAGGGCAGCAGGACAGAUCUUUCCCCCUCAUUCACUUCCAUGAGCACAGCCAAGGCAUGCUGGGAAACUGAGGACACACCAACAGAUGUAGAAAUGACCUGCAUGCUGUGGGUUUGUCUCAGAGUCCUCACAGGACCUCCAAGUCUGCACUUAUGUUUAUUAUCAGCUGGAGCCCCUCCUCAUUCUUCUUCU